rnacentral:rRNA from 1 species
CUAAGACUGGGAUAACUCCGGGAAACCGGGGCUAAUACCGGAUGGUUGUUUGAACCGCAUGGUUCAGACAUAAAAGGUGGCUUCGGCUACCACUUACAGAUGGACCCGCGGCGCAUUAGCUAGUUGGUGAGGUAACGGCUCACCAAGGCGACGAUGCGUAGCCGACCUGAGAGGGUGAUCGGCCACACUGGGACUGAGACACGGCCCAGACUCCUACGGGAGGCAGCAGUAGGGAAUCUUCCGCAAUGGACGAAAGUCUGACGGAGCAACGCCGCGUGAGUGAUGAAGGUUUUCGGAUCGUAAAGCUCUGUUGUUAGGGAAGAACAAGUGCCGUUCAAAUAGGGCGGCACCUUGACGGUACCUAACCAGAAAGCCACGGCUAACUACGUGCCAGCAGCCGCGGUAAUACGUAGGUGGCAAGCGUUGUCCGGAAUUAUUGGGCGUAAAGGGCUCGCAGGCGGUUUCUUAAGUCUGAUGUGAAAGCCCCCGGCUCAACCGGGGAGGGUCAUUGGAAACUGGGGAACUUGAGUGCAGAAGAGGAGAGUGGAAUUCCACGUGUAGCGGUGAAAUGCGUAGAGAUGUGGAGGAACACCAGUGGCGAAGGCGACUCUCUGGUCUGUAACUGACGCUGAGGAGCGAAAGCGUGGGGAGCGAACAGGAUUAGAUACCCUGG